AUGGCGGCGGGCUCCCUAAUGGCGAGGAGCCCCCUCCACAUUCUACUGUACGUCCUCGCCACCCUUGCCGUGACCGCGGCGGCAGAGGCGCCCACGCAGAAGGCACCGUUGCCGGCCUAUAACGUCACCGCCGACGAGGAGUACUGGGCGAAGCGAGCGGAGGAGGCCCGCGCUUAUAGCCGUGCGGCCUACGUGAGCGACCCCGUCGCGGAGCUCAACCGCUUCAACCGGGACGUGCACCGGGCGACGGCGCGGCGGUCGCUGGCGAGGAGGUACGGUGGCCGCCCGUGCGUGGCGACGAACCCCAUCGACCGGUGCUGGCGCUGCCGCGCCGACUGGGCCAGCAACCGGCAGCGCCUCGCCACCUGCGCGCGCGGCUUCGGCCACAACGCGGCGGGCGGCGCCGGCGGCCGGACGUACGUGGUCACCGAUCUCAGCGACGACGAGCUCAUCGUCCCCAAGAAGGGCACGCUCCGGUUCGGCGUGAUCCAGGACCGGCCGCUGUGGAUCGUCUUCGGGCGGUCCAUGGUCAUUAGACUCUCCCAGGAGCUCAUCGUGAACAGCAACAAGACGAUCGACGGGCGCGGCGCGCAGGUGCACAUCACGGGGGCACAGAUGACGCUGCAGGGCGUGAGGCACGUGAUCAUCCACAACGUCCACAUCCACCACUCCGUGCCGCACUCGGGCGGCAUGAUCCGGGACUCCAAGCACCACUACGGGCGGCGCACCCGGAGCGACGGCGACGGCGUCUCCAUCCUCUCCUCCAGCAGCGUGUGGAUCGACCACGUGUCCAUGUCCAGCUGCGCCGACGGCCUCAUCGACGUGGUCAGCGGCUCCACCGCCAUCACCGUGUCCAACAGCCACUUCACCAAGCAUGACCACGUGAUGCUGUUCGGCGCUAGCAACACGGAGGAGCAGGACAGGAUGAUGCAGGUCACCGUGGCGUUCAACCACUUCGGCAAGGGGCUGGUGCAGCGGAUGCCCCGCUGCCGCUUCGGCUUCUUCCAGGUGGUGAACAACGACUACACGCACUGGCAGAUGUACGCCAUCGGCGGCAACCGGGACCCCACCAUCAUCAGCCAGGGGAACCGGUUCAUCGCGCCCGACGACGGCAACGCCAAGGAGGUGACCAAGCGGGAGUACGCGCCCUACACCGAGUACAAGGACUGGGUGUGGAAGUCGCAGGGGGACGUCAUGGUGAACGGGGCAUUCUUCAACGAGUCCGGCGGCCAAAACGAGCGCAGGUACGGCAACAUGGACUUCAUCCCGGCCAAGCACGGCAGGUAUGUCGGGCAGCUCACGCGGUUCGCCGGCGUGCUCGACUGCGGCAUCGGCAAGCCGUGCUAG
rnacentral:rRNA from 1 species